UGGGGAAUAUUGCACAAUGGGCGAAAGCCUGAUGCAGCGACGCCGCGUGAGGGAUGACGGCCUUCGGGUUGCAAACCUCUUUCAGUAGGGACGAAGCGCAAGUGACGGUACCUGCAGAAGAAGCACCGGCUAACUACGUGCCAGCAGCCGCGGCAAUACGUAGGGUGCGAGCGUUGCCCGGAAUUACUGGGGGUAAAGAGCUCGUAGGCGGUUUGUCACGUCGUCUGUGAAAUCCUAGGGCUUAACCCUGGACGUGCAGGCGCUACGGGCUGACUUGAGUACUACAGGGGAGACUGGAAUUACUGGUGUAGCGGUGGAAUGCACAGAUAUCAGGAAGAACACCGAUGGCGAAGGCAGGUCUCUGGGUAGUAACUGACGCUGAGGAGCGAAAGCAUGGGUAGCGAACAG
rnacentral:rRNA from 1 species